rnacentral:lncRNA from 1 species
AGCCUUGCUUUCCGAGGGCGGCGUGCAGCCACAGUGCCCGCUGCGGGUGCUGGGGAAUGGCGCCUUACAGGCUGCCCACCUGCCUCCUCAGGGUGGAAGGCGGGGCUUGGGUGUGAGCGUGCUGAAUCAGAACUUUCCUGGAAAGUCGCCACUUGGUGUGGUCAGAGGAUCACUGAAGUAACAACUGCACAGAGCCUGUGCUUAAGAUGGCAGGAUCGCAAGACAGAGCAACUGGAGCAAGUCCUCAUUAAGAAGAGCCGCCCGAUGCAUUUGGACUGCGAUGUGUUACGCCCAUGAGAUUUCAGGGUUAAUUUGUUACCUGGCCGUGGCCUAUCCUCUUCCAGCAGAUACAGAGGCUACUGCAGUUUGCAACUUUGCAGAUACCAGCAGAGGAAGAAAAACCUGGGAGACUGCUGCUAACCUAAUGUGGAGACUUGACUUAAACUUCAGCCAGACAAAGGCGGAAUCUUAAUAUGGAGGGGCCUGGCUCUGCAGGGAGGUCACCUGGGCUGGCUGGAUUUCAAUCCAGUUACACAGCAAAAAAGUUACAACCCAAGCUUUGGCGAUGCUGAGCCUUCUACUCUCAGGGAUUCCAAAGCAUUUGAUAAACUCUUUCUUUGUUCCAUUGUUUACUGACUUCCUAGUGCUUGUCUUGUUCUGCAGUUAUUUAUUUAUUUUUAUUUAUUAGUUUUUACUUAUGAUCUACCCCUCUCUCCCAUCUCCCCGCAACCUGAAGAUAAGUGACUGGAGCAGAAUCCACUUCUGCUGAGAAGCUCUGGAUGACCACGGAUAAGCAGGAAGGCAUGUGACAUAUUGGCAAGUGAGUCAGACAGAAAGAGAGACGUGGGAUCGAGUCCUGGCAUUGCCCUUUCUAGCUAUUGUGUCCUUGGACAGGCGCCACUCAAUGGAGUUUAAGCCAUUCUCCAUAGGCAGGGAGAUGUUGCAGCGUCCAAUG